rnacentral:rRNA from 1 species
GAAGUAAAAAGUCGUAACAAGGUCUCCGUUGGUGAACCAGCGGAGGGAUCAUUAAAGAGUUGCAAAACUCCCAAACCAUUGUGAACAUACCUUCAACGUUGCUUCGGCGGGUUGGCCCCGGUCUCCGGGGUCCCCGGCCCUAACGGGCGCCCGCCGGAGGUACCUAACUCUUGAACUUUUAUGGCCUCUCUGAGUCUUUGUACUUAAUAAGUCAAAACUUUCAACAACGGAUCUCUUGGUUCUGGCAUCGAUGAAGAACGCAGCGAAAUGCGAUAAGUAAUGUGAAUUGCAGAAUUCAGUGAAUCAUCGAAUCUUUGAACGCACAUUGCGCCCGCCAGUAUUCUGGCGGGCAUGCCUGUUCGAGCGUCAUUUCAACCAUCAAGCCCCCGGCUUGUGUUGGGGACCUGCGGCUGCCGCAGGCCCUGAAAACCAGUGGCGGGCUCGCUAGUCACUCCGAGCGUAGUAAUACAUCUCGCUCAGGGCGUGCUGCGGGUUCCGGCCGUUAAAAAGCCUUAUUUACCCAAGGUGACCUCGGAUCAGGUACGA